rnacentral:rRNA from 1 species
AGGGAAUAUUGCGCAAUGGACGAAAGUCUGACGCAGCCACGCCGCGUGAGUGAAGAAGGUCUUCGGAUUGUAAAGCUCUGUCAUCCGGGAAAAACGGCUAUCUGGGGAAAGUUCAGGUAGCGUGAUGGUACCGGAGGAGGAAGCACCGGCAAACUCUGUGCCAGCAGCCGCGGUAAUACAGAGGGUGCAAGCGUUGUUCGGAAUUACUGGGCGUAAAGCGUGCGUAGUCGGUAUUGAGAGUCGCGGGUGAAAUCCCAGGGCUUAACCCUGGAACUGCCUGCGAGACCUCAGUACUAGAGUGUGAGAGGGGAUAGUGGAAUACCAAGUGUAGCGGUGAAAUGCGUAGAGAUUUGGUGGAACACCGGUGGCGAAGGCGGCUAUCUGGCUCACAACUGACGAUCAGGCACGAAAGCGUGGGGAGCAAAC